UUUUAUUUUAUUUGUAAUAUCAGAUUGUUCCCUUAGAAAAUCCAAUCAGAUUGAACCCUUCUCCUACGUUUUGAACCCUUCUCUCACUGUUUCUCAUCGUUGAACCCUAUAUUUAGAACCCAACACUGAUUCUCAUUCCUCUCAAUGCUGUGAGUAUUGCCGCCAAACCUGUGACCGUCACCGUCACUCUCAAAGUCGUCACUGUCCCCCUCUCUUACGUGUGACCCUCUCGAACCCGUCGUCGUUCAGUGUCGUCGCCGCGCUGUCAUCUAUUGUCGAUUCUCAAUUUCAAGCAAACUAAAAAGGACAUAAUAGCAACAUCAAAUGGAGAACAAUUGGUUCGGUUCUGAUUUACUUUCUUGAUUAUCAGCAACCUAAAUGGAUUCAAAGGUAUGCAACGGAUUCAAAUUGGACAUUGGAUGGACGAUAUCAGACACUGACUAAUUUCUGGCCAAAAGUUCCUGUUUUGGUCAUUCAUUGGUUCUGGUUUGAACACCAAUGUAAAAUGCACUAUCUUACACCAAGAAAUCAGUUUUUUGUUGUUGUUGAGGUUAUUACAGACAUAAUGUAGAUUUUCCUAGUAUAAAAUCAAGGUAAUUUAAAGAAUGAGGAUGAAGGGCUUACCAAUACCAUAGCGUUGAUUUGUCUUUAAUUGCAUGAUUUCUGGACAGAUUGCACUAUCUGGACAGAUUGCACUAUCUGGAUAGAUUGCAUGAUUUCUCUUUAAUUGCUUAUAUUAACUUAGACAUAACUUAGAAUGAUUUCUGGUUCAUUUUUCUGCGUUUUUCUGUGUUUCUGGUUCAUUCUUCUGCUUGGUUAUGUAAGUUGUUGUUUACUAACUAUCCCAAAUGCAUUGAUGCAAGACCUAGUCCCCCUGUAUCCUGGUGAAUUUUGAUAAACAACAAAUCGUAGUUUGUAGGGGGAAGGAUUAUAAGCAAUUGAAAGUUUUAGGGUCGGAAAUCAACAAAUUUGAGGGCAACAACAUGGACGACAACAUGGACCUCUAGCACAAGUAAUUGGAAAGCAAUCUCCAUAAGCUGUACAACAAGGUGGUAAAUCUUGAAUUCGUACGCUUUGAGAGUUACCAGCCAAAGAACCUAUAAUAGCAAUGACUAAAAUCAAUAAUUUGAAGAGCAUCUUCAACAAAGUGGUCAUUACAACUGAGUUUGGUUUACAAAGAAAAACAACAGAGAUAUCUUAUAGUGAGCCCUAUGUUAACGUGAUAUGUACUAAUUUAUAGACAAAGAAACAAUACUCUACAAAAUCAUUUUUAGUAAUAUUUAAAUGUUAACAUAUAGGAUUUAAUUAGAACGCAUUGAUAGUGUAAAGAUUUACUACAUAUACUGACAUUUAAUUAUAAAAAUUA